GACCGCGUGGCGCUCGGCCGGCGCCCCGGGAGCGCGCGAGGCGCACGGGAGGGACGCACCCGCCGCGGCCCGCGGGCCUGCGGGCACCGUCGGCCGGGCGGUGUCAGGGGCGCCCGCCCUCGCGCCCACCCCGACCCCCACGGCCGGCGGAACCCGCCCGGCCCCCGCAGCCGAGCCGGUGCAGACCGCGCGGGGAGAUGGCGCAGACGCAGCCCGCGAAGGGAGGCUCGGGCCGCGAGGGUCGAAACACCCGAGGUUUAACUGCCUGCGACUCACGUGUCUGUGCGGCAGCUUCCCUGCGACUUCGGGGGCGGGAGGCCGAGCACCUGUGCGCCGCGCCUCUUGCGGGGACAGCUGCGCGCAUCCCUCAGGCCCGCCGACCGCACCAUCUGACCUGCCCGGAACGAAAUCCGAGCCUCGGAAUUCGAACGGCCCCGCGCACCUCCCUUCUCAGAUAAAUCUCCUAGGAGAGGAUCGUUCCUCUCUACUCAGAGAUUAUUUAGGGAGAUGUCCUGGGCGGGAUAGGUAGACAUACGAUAGCCCAAGGAAAACGUUAAAUUGUAGACACUUAAGCACCAACUGUCUGGAGCCCUGAAGGAAAGGGAGAAAGGAGAAAAAAAAAAAAAAAAGAUGAUCCAUCAUCAGAAACUUCCAGAGCCCCUGGGACUUUCUAAAUCAGUGGAUGUACUAACCAGGGAGUGUGGGAAGAUUUCUGAACACAAUUCAUAUUCCUUAACCUCGGGAAGUGGGAGUUCUACCUCUCUUCCAGCUGUCAAAUCUUAGGUUCCUAAUUCCUUGGUUUUGACCACCAGGAAGAGAUUCCUUAUCAUCAACUCAGCAAAAGCAUUUCCAUUAAAUAUUACUGGGUGGGAAAUAUUUCGUUCCCCCGGCUCACUGUAUCAUAACCACCAUAAACAUUUCUGUGAUCCACGGUGUUUGAUACUGGCCAGGCUUUCAGCGGAGCUGGGGCCAGGUGUUAAACGGCCCCUCGGCACCUUGCCCUUGUCCAGAGAAGGGAUUCCUACAGCUGCUGCUGACGGAGGAUGACUAGGAAGUUGGUUAGGAAAAGCAUCUUUUUCUUUUUUCUUCCUUUAAAGCUACCCUCUUGCCAAACAUUAUUUCUUUAGCCACCAAAGGAAGAUCAUUUAAUUGAUAACUUUGAGGGCCUCCUUUCUCUGCCACUCUGGGUUUUUUGGUUGUUGUUGCUUGGUGAGGAGGGUUUUGGGGGUAGAGAAAGAGGGGCUAAAGUGAAAGGGAGCUGGAAAGGAGAUUUGUGUCUGGCUUUAUCCAAACCCUGUUAGGUCUUGUAUUUAACGUGAUGUGGAAUGGAGAGGUUGCAAAAGGUACACAAUUGGAAAAGAAGGUCUCUUGGAAAAGAAUUAAGGGAUAGGAAUUUAGUAUCCUGGAAGGGAAAAAAACGGUUAAGAAAACCUUCAGGAGGACACAGUGACUGUUACACAGAGAAAAUAUCAAGAUACAAAGGAGAGGGGGAAGUGGAAUGAGGAAGUGAACCUUCCUGAGCCACUCAUCUAUCCAAAACUUCACUCGCAUUAUCUCAUUUAAUUCUUUCCACAACUUGAGGAGAAGGGUAUAAGUUUUAAUCCAAUCCUCCUUUUCCAGAGGAGAAAUCUGUAGCAGAGACCCAAGGUAAAUUGCCUGAGUGCCUAUAGCUAGUGAGGAGCAGAAUUGCAAUUGAUUAAGCGGUAAGGAAGAAUUUCUUGAGAAUUAGUGUUUUCAAAUCUUUAUUAGUUACAGAGAGAAAUGGGGUAUUAAUAACCUUAUGGGAUGACCUUUAGAUUCCAGGGGGAAACAAUGUUAAUUAAGCAAGACAAGCCCAUGAAUUUUCUUGUUUCCCCCUUAUGUGGCUUCAGGGAAGGUGUGACAAUUAGAGACAACUCAGUGCUGCCCAAAUCCAUUGUAAAGUUCUUUUCAACUGAUGGAUCUAUUAGCUAUAAUUAAGCACAUGUCCUUAUUCUUUAGGAAAUUCCUACUAUUUGAGGAGCAAACUGUAAAGCGUUAGACUCUCCAAUUUAAGAACAAUUGGGAUUUAGUUGGAAACAGAUAAACUAUCUAUAAAAUUGAAUUUAAAAAGCUUGGAAAAGGGUCCUGAGAGUCCAGAGUCCUGGCCCCACCAACUGCGAACAAACACGGCUCUUGAAUCAACCUGAGCUGAGUGUGGAUAUGAGCUCUGGCUAGCUGUGUGACCACAAGCAGUUUUCUUAACCUCUCUGGGCUUCAGCUUCCUCCUCGGUAAAAUAAGGCAAACAAACCUUUUCAAGGUUAUCGUGAGGCUAAAAUAAAAUAUUAUGGGUGAAAACCUUUAACA
ensembl:lncRNA